UAUUCUAAGCAGAGCAAAUGUAAAUAUUUAGGAUUUUAUUCAUCAUGAUAAACCCAAAAAGGAGGUGGGUCUCUCCCCAAUGUGAAAACAAGAGAACGUCAAACCACAAUACAGGCAAGCCUUCUAGAACUCCGAGGGAGCUGCAGCAUCUGACAUAGUGCUUUUAAACCGCUGGAGUGUUCGAAACUAUCAAGUGCAGCGUGGAGACAUUGUGUCACUAGUGUAAAUAAUUCAGUUUCUGACUAACUGAAAUGAUGACGUUCACAAGUAAAAUUGAUUUCUAAACACACACAAACAUGUAGAAUUAAACUGUUUUGAGAUCCCCUUAUGCCCAGUUCCUUUGUUGUGUCUUGAGGGCAGAGAUUUUUUUUUUUAAUUUUCAAAUUCACAGCAGGCACUGGACCCCCUGCAGUUUUCAGUGUACCCAGAAAAUUUCUAUCUCGGCUUUCUAAUAUUUUUGUAUUACAAUUUCCAAUACGUUUAUUCUAAAAAGUGACUGGUAAACCCAGUGGCGUAUAUCCAUUGGUGAUUAUUUAAUUUUCUUCCCUGUGCAAUGAUGAAAUGCCUCAAGUAAAUAUGUGUGUGAGCUGCAGGAGCAGGACACAUGCUGUUUGAUAGUUGCAAUGUUUGGAUGCUUGUUUUGAAGAAAACUUAUGAGGCUUAUGAAAAAUGUGUUAGAUUGAUCUGAAAAUCUGUAUACUGCUUUAUUAUAGCGGGGGAAGGAAAGGCAGUUACAGACUAACCAUUACCCUAAAACACCCCAAAACCCAACAUGCUGACUAGUGAUAGAUCUACAGUAUUACACAUAUUGUCACAUAUUGGUGGUAUUUGCCAUGUUAGGUACAUACUAAAUAAAUGGCUAACUAUGUACAAACCUUGUACUAUAAAAACAUACCUGAAUAAAAAUGACACUACAUUAAACUAAAGAAUAUGAUAGCAGUAGUAAUAUAUACAUUUCUUGCGCAUUUUAAAAACAGCCUACAUUCUAGAGAAUAACUAUCUGUUAAGAUAUUGUCUUGAAAUACAUCAUGAAGACAUUAUUGUCUGUGACAGAUGAGCUUGUUAAAAUCAAAUGGCGAUAAAGGUCACGAGUUUACUCUGUGAAUGUGAUCUUUCCGAGUGAUGACAGAUAGCAAAAACAUACCUCAGUAUCCUGUAAUAUUUCUGUGCUAUAUAAAUACAUGUCAAGUAUUCUCUUGUGGAUUUCUCGUUUCAUUGGAAUAACUUGGUAGUGUUAUCUGAAUAACUACUCUGCUCUCCUAGGCUGAUUUAAUCAGGUUCCUGAGGCUGUUUUAUAAACCGUUUUUGAAAUUGAGUGACUAUUGAAACCGUACUGUCUUGGCAUCAGAUCUUCAGGCUAUUAUCAAGGCACCAAUUAGCGUACUCCCUUAAACGUUAACCUGUGUGCAUGUACAUCUCUUCUUAGUUUUAAAUAAAAAAUGUAAAAACA